GCCGCAGGUCCAUUGACAGAAAUCCUGUCCGUGGGAGGGGAACACGGUGUGAAUCCGUGGCAGUUCCCGCUACUGUAAGUCUUCCCGGAAGACAAGUCAGAAUGCCUCUUUGCAUAUUGUCACAUC
rnacentral:ncRNA from 19 species